UUCAACCGUAUGGUAACCAAACCCUUAUGUUUCAAGAUCUGGAGGUGAAUUUUUGGUUAGUUUCCUGGAAUUUUUAAGAUUUUUACCUAUGAUUAUAAGGUUUGAUAAGGAAAAGAAAAGGCCAAAGUGGAGAAUAGAUUUUAGAAAAUAUUUAAUUUAUAUUUGUGUUUUUAUUUUAAUUUAAGAUGUGUUGAAGCUAAUGUAAAUAAAUUGAUAUAAUUAAACCACAUCUGUGUAUAUAUAAAGUUUUAUAUUUUUU